CACUAUGUAUUGUAUUUUGCAGGGCGCCCACAGCCUUUUCAAUAUUUAUAUGCUUUGUUAAUAUUACCGUAUCGUCAGCAUACUGAGUAAAUAAUAAUAAUAAUAAUAAUA
rnacentral:lncRNA from 1 species